rnacentral:tRNA from 1 species
CGACUCUUAGCUCAGUUAGAUAGAGCGGACGACUGUAGUUUUGAUUAAUCUAAAUUGGAAAUCCUUAGGUCGCUGGUUCGAAUCCGGCAUGGUCGG